UGAGGGCGCGGGGAGGGGUAGGGCCCUUCUCCGCCCCUCCCGGGGUCUGGGCAGCUGCUCCGGGAUUCCUCCUUCCUCCGGGUCACCCGCUGCGCCCCUUCCCACCCCCCACUCUGUCCUGGAAAGGCCGGGAGCUGGCUCCCUUCUAGGAGGUGGCUCAGCAAGGCCUGACCUGGGGGCGCGGGGUCAGUGCCUGGCUGAGCAGAAGCCCCUCUAGCCCAGCCCCGCCCCUUCCAAAGGCUCCGGGCACAAGGCACCUGUCACCCCAGGUCCCUAGGGCAGCCCCUGGCCCGGGACGCAGGGUCCCUCACCUCCUCUUGGAGGCCUUUGGGGCCUCUCCCCCUUGGGGGUGAAGAGAUCCUGACUCCCUGAAUCCUGCCUCGGGUACCUCCCUCCAGGCACCUGGCCCUGAGCCGCCCCCUGGGGUCCUUGGAUCCUAAUGUAAAGGCAGCUCCGGAGAGCCCCCUGCCCAACCUCGCAGCUCCUCUCCCACUGACCGAAUCUGCUCUGGGACCCCCUGACGAGGCGCUCUGGGAACCCCAGGCGCAGACAGUUCCUCAGUUGCUCCUGAAGGGAAGGAAUUGCAGUUUCCUGAGAUGGAAGUUUAUACUGUUGAAUAUCUACUCUUCUUUUUUUUCCAAGAUAUGCAUUUGGAGCUAGGAAUUUCUUAGCUGUUCUCCACAGAGAGAGACAAAGCAUGAACAGGGGAGGGGCAGAGAGAGAGGGAGACACAGAAUCCGAAACAGGCUCCAAGCUCUCAGCACAGAGCCCAACACGGGGCUCGAACUCACGAACUAUGAGAUCAUGACCUGAGCUGAAGUCGGACGCUUAACCGACCGAGCCACCCAGGUGCCCCAAAUAUGGUCUGUUUCAAUAAAUGUUUCUUUUGGACUUAAAAAGAAUGUGUGCUCUGCAGUGGUU